GUGAGGAAUUUUCCGCAAUGGGCGAAAGCCUGACGGAGCAAUGCCGCGUGAAGGAUGAAGGCCUAUGGGUUGUAAACUUCUUUUCUCAGAAAAGAAUUAUGACGGUAUCUGAGGAAUAAGCAUCGGCUAACUCUGUGCCAGCAGCCGCGGUAAGACAGAGGAUGCAAGCGUUAUCCGGAAUGAUUGGGCGUAAAGCGUCUGUAGGUUGUUUAAAAAGUAUUCUGUCAAAGAUUAGGGCUUAACCCUAGAUAGGCAGAAUAAACUUUUAAGCUAGAGUUUAGUAGAGGCAGAGGGAAUUCCCGGUGGAUCGGUGAAAUGCGUAUAUAUCGGGAGGAACACCAAAGGCGAAGGCACUCUGCUGGGCCAAUACUAACACUGAGAGACGAAAGCGAGGGGAGCAAAUGGGAUUAGAAACCCCGGUAGUCC
rnacentral:rRNA from 1 species